rnacentral:rRNA from 1 species
UGAGUUGCGAACGGGUGAGUAACGCGUAGGUAACCUGCCUGGUAGCGGGGGAUAACUAUUGGAAACGAUAGCUAAUACCGCAUAAUAGCAGUUGUUGCAUGACAACUGUUUGAAAGGUGCAAUUGCACCACUACCAGAUGGACCUGCGUUGUAUUAGCUAGUUGGUGGGGUAACGGCUCACCAAGGCGACGAUACAUAGCCGACCUGAGAGGGUGAUCGGCCACACUGGGACUGAGACACGGCCCAGACUCCUACGGGAGGCAGCAGUAGGGAAUCUUCGGCAAUGGACGGAAGUCUGACCGAGCAUCGCCGCGUGAGUGAAGAAGGUUUUCGGAUCGUAAAGCUCUGUUGUAAGAGAAGAACGAGUGUGAGAGUGGAAAGUUCACACUGUGACGGUAUCUUACCAGAAAGGGACGGCUAACUACGUGCCAGCAGCCGCGGUAAUACGUAGGUCCCGAGCGUUGUCCGGAUUUAUUGGGCGUAAAGCGAGCGCAGGCGGUUAGAUAAGUCUGAAGUUAAAGGCUGUGGCUUAACCAUAGUACGCUUUGGAAACUGUUUAACUUGAGUGCAAGAGGGGAGAGUGGAAUUCCAUGUGUAGCGGUGAAAUGCGUAGAUAUAUGGAGGAACACCGGUGGCGAAAGCGGCUCUCU